GUGGGCCUGACGUGGAG
rnacentral:miRNA from 1 species